AUACGGAGGGUGCAAGCGUUAAUCGGAAUUACUGGGCGUAAAGCGCUCGUAGGCGGCUUGUUAAGUCGGAUGUGAAAGCCCCGGGCUCAACCUGGGAACUGCAUUCGAUACUGGCAGGCUAGAGUAUAGUAGAGGCAAGUGGAAUUCCGGGUGUAGCGGUGAAAUGCGUAGAUAUCCGGGGGAACAUCAGUGGCGAAGGCGACUUGCUGGACUAAUACUGACGCUGAGGAGCGAAAGCGUGGGGAGCAAACAGGAUUAGAUACCCGAGUAGUCC
rnacentral:rRNA from 1 species